CGGACGGGUGAGUAACACGUGGAUAACCUACCUAUAAGACUGGGAUAACUUCGGGAAACCGGAGCUAAUACCGGAUAAUAUAUUGAACCGCAUGGUUCAAUGGUGAAAGACGGUUUUGCUGUCACUUAUAGAUGGAUCCGCGCCGCAUUAGCUAGUUGGUAAGGUAACGGCUUACCAAGGCAACGAUGCGUAGCCUACCUGAGAGGGUGAUCGGCCACACUGGAACUGAGACACGGUCCAGACUCCUACGGGAGGCAGCAGCG
rnacentral:rRNA from 1 species